rnacentral:snRNA from 1 species
ACACUUACCUGCAGGAAGAUAUCAUGAUCACGAAGGUGGUUUCCCCGCAGGGUGAUCCCAUUGCACUCUGGAUGUGCUGUCCCCUGUGAUUUCCCAAAUGUGGGACCUCAACUGCAUAAUUGUGGUGGUUGGGGGACUGCAGUUCCCAC